rnacentral:ncRNA from 1 species
GUGUUGUAUGAAAGGAGAGAAGGUUAUCACACUUCAGGACAUGGUUUAGUGGGCACGGUGCUGUUGGGUUGAUGGUUGGACUUGAUGAUCUCAAAGGUCUUUUCCAACCUUAAUGAUUC